rnacentral:rRNA from 1 species
AAUGCUGACAUAAGUAACGAUAAAGCGGGUGAAAAGCCCGCUCGCCGGAAGACCAAGGGUUCCUGUCCAACGUUAAUCGGGGCAGGGUGAGUCGACCCCUAAGGCGAGGCCGAAAGGCGUAGUCGAUGGGAAACGGGUUAAUAUUCCCGUACUUGGUGUUACUGCGAAGGGGGGACGGAGAAGGCUAUGUUGGCCGGGCGACGGUUGUCCCGGUUUAAGCGUGUAGGCUGGUUUUCCAGGCAAAUCCGGAAAAUCAAGGCUGAGGCGUGACGACGAGGCACUACGGUGCUGAAGCAACAAAU